AAACCCCCUCGCCGAAAGACUAAGGUUUCCUGAUCAACGCUAAUCGGAUCAGGGUUAGUCGGGUCCUAAGGCUCAGCCGAACGGUGAGGCCGAUGGCAGAACAGGUUAAUAUUCCUGUACUACCUUAAAGAGUGACGUGGAGACGGAGGAGUGACAGCGCCGCGGACUGACGGAAUAGUCCGUUGAAGGGUGUAGAUGUUGAUUAUCCCAGGCAAAUCCAGGAUAAGAGUCGAACCUGAUAGUAUGGAGCGUUCUUCGGAACAAUCCAAUAGUGCGUGUAAGCAUACUCCCAAGAAAAUCCGCUAAACUUAAUCUUUAAGGUACCCGUACCGCAAACGGACACACGUAGUCGGGUUGAAUAUACUAAGGCGCUUGAGUGAUUCACGGUUAAGGAACUAGGCAAAUUGACCCUGUAACUUCGGGAUAAAGGGUCCCAACGAGAGUUGGGCGCAGAGAAUAGGUCCAGGCAACUGUUUAACAAAAACACAGGGCUGUGCCAAAUUGAAAGAUUACGUAUACAGCCUGACACCUGCCCGGUGCUGGAAGGUUAAGAGGAGAUGUCAUCGCAAGAGAAGCAUUGAAUUGAAGCCCCAGUAAACGGCGGCCGUAACUAUAACGGUCCUAAGGUAGCGAAAUUCCUUGUCGGGUAAGUUCCGACCUGCACGAAUGGUGUAAUGAUCUGGACGCUGUCUCAACCGUGAGCUCAGUGAAAUUGUAGUAUCGGUGAAGAUGCCGAUUACCCGCGAUGGGACGAAAAGACCCCGUGAACCUUUACUAUAGCUUAACAUUGAAUUUGGGUAAUUGAUGUGUAGGAUAGGCCGGAGACUUCGAAGCAGGUACGCCAGUAUUUGUGGAGUCGCUGUUGAAAUACGGCCCUUUGAUUAUUUGAGUUCUAACUCGUUGAUGCGAGGACACUGUUUGGUGGGUAGUUUGACUGGGGUGGUCGCCUCCAAAAGUGUAACGGAGGCUUCUAAAGGUGCCCUCAGGACGAUUGGUAACCGUCCGUAGAGUGUAAUGGCAUAAGGGCGCUUGACUGGGAGACAGACAAGUCGAUCAGGUAGGAAACUAGAGCAUAGUGAUCCGGUGUUUCCGUAUGGA
rnacentral:rRNA from 1 species